rnacentral:lncRNA from 1 species
UUUGUUUUGAAAAUGAGGAAACUAAAGCUCAGGGAAAGGACUUGCCCAAUUGGUUCAUACUAGAGCUGGGACUAGGACCCAGGUAAUGGGCAUUUCUUGCCUCGUGCCAUGAAGAAGCUUCCUAAUUAAGUUUACAGCAUUGUGCCAGGAACAAGAAUGUUUGCCAUGCAGCAGAAUGUGGUUAAGAUAAAAAUAUCUUCUCAAGGAAGCCAGGGCAUUUUCUCCAUGUUAAGCCACAGGAUGGAAUGAUUUGGUGCUAGUGUUAGAUCUGAAGUGAACUUCUGACAGCAUUCAGGGACAACAAGAAACACAGGCAUGGCACCUGCGAACACUUUUGAGUUCACCGUCUUUCUCGCCAUUUCCAAGGGCCAUUGGGCAAGUCAGCUUGAGCUGAUAAAGGAUUCUAAGCAUGGAAUUAGAAAAAGAUCAGGUAAGUCUGCUGAGUGCUUAGUGAAAUCAGGCUAACG